UUUGCCUACGGGACGCAGCAGUCGAGAAUCAUUCACAAUGGGGGAAACCCUGAUGGUGCGACGCCGCGUGCAGGAAGAAGGUUUUCGGAUUGUAAACUGCUUUAGACAGGGGAGAAAAAAGACAGUACCUGUAGAAUAAGCUCCGGCUAACUACGUGCCAGCAGCCGCGGUAAUACGUAGGGAGCAAGCGUUAUCCGGAUUUAUUGGGUGUAAAGGGUGCGUAGACGGGAAUGCAAGUUGGUUGUGAAAUCCCUCGGCUUAACUGAGGAACUGCAACCAAAACUACAUUUCUUGAGUGCUGGAGG
rnacentral:rRNA from 1 species